rnacentral:rRNA from 1 species
AAUUUUGGACAAUGGGGGAAACCCUGAUCCAGCCAUCCCGCGUGUAUGAUGAAGGCCUUCGGGUUGUAAAGUACUUUUGGCAGAGAAGAAAAGGUAUCUCCUAAGACGAGAUACUGCUGACGGUAUCUGCAGAAUAAGCACCGACUAACUACUUGCAAGCAGCCGCGGGAAUACGUAUGGUGCAAGCGUGAAUCGGAAUUACUGGGCGUAAAGCGUGUGUAGGCGGUGCGGAAAAAAAGAUGUGCGAUCCCAGGGCUCAACCUUGGAACUGCAUUUUUAACUGCCGAGCUAGAGUAUGUCAGAGGGGAGUAGAAUUCCACGUGUAGCAGUGAAAUGCGUAGAUAUGUGGAGGAAUACCGAUGGCGAAGGCAGCCCCCUGGGAUAAUACUGACGCUCAGACACGAAAGCGUGGGGAGCAAACAGG